UUGGGUUUGAUUUUACCACCCCUAUUCGUCUUUAAGAGAUUUAAACCAAAGUUAAAGUUAGAACUAGUGAAAAUAAAAACUAAAUAAUUGCAAUCCAAUAAUCGAAAGAGAGAGAGAGAGAGAAUGAGUUUGGGCAUUUUGGGCCUAAACUGCUGCCUCUUUGGGCCUAAAUUGCUGUUGAUUUGUGCCUCUUUUCAGCGUAUACAAAAAGUUGUAUAUCGGUGUAUACAGGCUUGUUUAGCAGCCCUUUUCCUACAUUUUUUGCUUUCGUUUGCCAUGUAUUUAAGGCUUGACUUUCACUUGAACACCGAUGGGGCUGACUCAAAGGAAAUCAACUCGAUGAAAUGCAAGGAAUUAGUCCAAAAGUGGACUCAGAUUUCACAUGAAAGGAAAAUAAAAUGAUA
rnacentral:lncRNA from 1 species